rnacentral:rRNA from 1 species
GACGAACGCUGGCGGCGUGCUUAACACAUGCAAGUCGAACGAUGAAGCCCAGCUUGCUGGGUGGAUUAGUGGCGAACGGGUGAGUAACACGUGGGCAACCUGCCCCAAACUCUGGGAUAACUCCUCGAAAGAGGUGCUAAUACCGGAUACGAACUAGGUAGACAUCUGCACUAGUUGGAAAGUUUUUCGGUUUGGGAUGGGCCCGCGGCCUAUCAGCUUGUUGGUGAGGUAACGGCUCACCAAGGCUACGACGGGUAACCGGCCUGAGAGGGGGACAGGUCACACUGGGACUGAGACACGGCCCAGACUCCGACGGGAGGCAGCAGUGGGGAAUAUUGCGCAAUGGGCGAAAGCCUGACGCAGCGACGCCGCGUGAGGGAUGAAGGUCUUCGGAUCGUAAACCUCUUUCAGUAGGGACGAAGCGAAAGUGACGGUACCUAAAGAAGAAGCACCGGCUAACUACGUGCCAGCCGCCGCCGUAA